GGACUGAAAGGUAGAGCGACUGACUGUUAAUCAGUAGGUCGUAGGUUCAAAUCCUGCCCA
rnacentral:tRNA from 1 species